CCUACGGGAGGCAGCAGUGAGGAAUAUUGGUCAAUGGGCGGGAGCCUGAACCAGCCAAGUCGCGUGAAGGAUGACUGUCCUACGGAUCGUAAACUUCUUUUAUCAAGGAAUAAAGUGAGGCACGCGUGCCUUUUUGUAUGUACCUUAUGAAUAAGGAUCGGCUAACUCCGUGCCAGCAGCCGCGGUAAUACGGAGGAUCCGAGCGUUAUCCGGAUUUAUUGGGUUUAAAGGGUGCGUAGAUGGGUUGUUAAGUCAGUUGUGAAAGUUUGCGGCUCAACCGUAAAAUUGCAAUUGAUACUGGCAGUCUUGAGUACAGGUGAGGUAGGCGGAAUUCGUGGUGUAGCGGUGAAAUGCUUAGAUAUCACGAAGAACUCCGAUUGCGAAGGCAGCUUACUAAACUGCCACUGACAUUGAUGCUCGAAAGUGUGGGUAUCGAACAGGAUUAGAUACCCUGGUAGUC
rnacentral:rRNA from 1 species